rnacentral:rRNA from 1 species
UACGUAGGGGGCAAGCGUUGUCCGGAUUUAUUGGGCGUAAAGAGCGUGUAGGCGGCCAGGUAGGUCUGCUGUGAAAACUCGAGGCUUAACCUCGAGCUGUCGGCGGAAACCAUCUGGCUAGAGUCCGGAAGAGGAGAAUGGAAUUCCCGGUGUAGCGGUGAAAUGCGCAGAUAUCGGGAAGAACACCCGUGGCGAAGGCGGCAUCCUGGACCAACACUGACACUGAUGAGCGAAAGCCAGGGGAGCAAACGGG